UACGGGGGGGGCAAGCGUUGUUCGGAAUUACUGGGCGUAAAGGGCUCGUAGGCGGCCAACUAAGUCGGACGUGAAAUCCCUCGGCUUAACCGGGGAACUGCGUCCGAUACUGGAUGGCUGGAGUUCGGGAGAGGGAUGCGGAAUUCCAGGUGUAGCGGUGAAAUGCGUAGAUAUCUGGAGGAACACCGGUGGCGAAGGCGGCAUCCUGGACCGACACUGACGCUGAGGAGCGAAAGCCAGGGGAGCAAAGCGGG
rnacentral:rRNA from 1 species